rnacentral:lncRNA from 7 species
AAUAAAGUCAGACAGAUUAUGGAAAAAAGACGUGUGGUGUUUGCCUCUAUGCAAAGCAUCAAGAGGAAAUCUUCCAUUGUGGAAAAAAGGUAGAGCCACAAAACAAGACAACAGUUCCAGAUCAACUCUGGAUGGACUCCUAUACUCAGAAAUGGAAGAUGACCAACUAUGGAAUAAAUUGAUAAACCUCUAUUUAAGAGGAAUGGCAGCUUAAACCUGCAUCACACACCACAGCCUGUUCUGCAGCAGCCUGUCUCCAAUCACACCUACCCCACCUACUACCCAAGGACCUUCAUCUGAAGGCAGCACACAAGCCAAAUCGUUUUGUGGGUUAGCUAUGAAUCAUUUUUAAUUCCACACAUAAAAUUUUAAUAGUUGAAAUUCACUCUGUUUUAGAUUCAAAAUGCUUCCUUUGCCUCCUCAUAUGAUUUCUUAUAUGUCUUGAUUUCUGAUAGUAUCUAUUUCUACACUAAUCAUUCCAAGUGUCUGUUGUAAUCAGAGUUCUAAUCAGUAUCAUCUGGGGUAAUUAUUUGCAUCCUGAAGUAGGAUAUCUAAAUGAAACCAAAUUAAUUAUAUCUUGAAAGUAUCUGUUUUUUGCCAUUUGGCUGUAAAAUAAAUAAAUAUACAAGG